UACGUAGGGGGCGAGCGUUGUCCGGAGUUACUGGGCGUAAAGCGCACGCAGGCGGUCUGCUAAGUUUGGAGUGAUAGUUGGUGGCUUAACUGCCAAAGUGCUUCGAAAACUGACAGACUUGAGGGCUUCAGAGGGACACGGAAUUCCGGGUGGAGUGGUGAAAUGCGUAGAGAUCCGGAGGAACACCAAAGGCGAAGGCAGUGUCCUGGGGAGUACCUGACGCUCAGGUGCGAAAGCCAGGGGAGCGAACGGG
rnacentral:rRNA from 1 species